rnacentral:rRNA from 1 species
AGAGUUUGAUCCUGGCUCAGGACGAACGCUGGCGGCGUGCCUAACACAUGCAAGUCAGGGAGAAAAAGAUAGCAAUAUCUUGAGUAAACCGGCGAACGGGUGAGGAUAACGUAGACAACCAUCCUCGUGAACGGGGAUAACUCCGGGAAACCGGAACUAAUACCCGAUGACAUCCAGAAGGAGCAUUCCUUUUGGAUCAAAGGCCUCACAAGGGCGUCACGAGACGGGUCUGCGCCCCAUUAGAUAGUUGGCGGGGUAAUAGCCCACCAAGUCUACGAUGGGUAGCUGGUCUGAGAGGACGACCAGCCACACUGGAACUGAGACACGGUCCAGACUUCUACGGAAGGCAGCAGUGAGGAAUAUUGCUCAAUGGGCGAAAGCCUGAAGCAGCGACGCCGCGUGAAGGAUGAAAUCCGUUAGGAUGUAAACUUCUUUUAUAGGGGAAGAAUAACCCGGUUACCGGGUGUGACUGUACCUUAUGAAUAAGCACCGGCCAACUACGUGCCAGCAGCCGCGGUAAUACGUAGGGUGCGAGCGUUGUCCGGAAUUACUGGGUGUAAAGGGUCCGUAGGCGGGCGAGAUAGUCGGUGGUGAAAGUUUGCGGCUCAACCGCGAAAUUGCCAUCGAUACUACUCGUCUUGAAUCCGAGAGAGGAUGAUGGAAUUCAUGGUGUAGCAGUGAAAUGCGUAGAGAUCAUGAAGAACACCAGUAGCGAAGGCGGUCAUCUGGCUCGGUAUUGACGCUCAGGGACGAAAGCGUGGGUAGCAAACAGGAUUAGAUACCCUGGUAGUCCACGCCUUAAACGAUGGAUGUUCGGUGUCGGUCCCGCUCAGCACUUUAAUGAAGUGUUGAGCGGGAUCGGUGCCUGAGCUAACGCGUUAAACAUCCCACCUGGGGAGUACGAUCGCAAGGUUGAAACUCAAAGGAAUUGACGG